GGAUCCAGACUUUGAUUAUGGCUCAGGACGAACGCUGGCGGCGCGCCUAACACAUGCAAGUCGAACGAGCGAGAGAGAGCUUGCUUUCUCAAGCGAGUGGCGAACGGGUGAGUAACGCGUGAGGAACCUGCCUCAAAGAGGGGGACAACAGUUGGAAACGACUGCUAAUACCGCAUAAGCCCACGACCCGGCAUCGGGUUGAGGGAAAAGGAGCAAUCCGCUUUGAGAUGGCCUCGCGUCCGAUUAGCUAGUUGGUGAGGUAACGGCCCACCAAGGCAACGAUCGGUAGCCGGACUGAGAGGUUGAACGGCCACAUUGGGACUGAGACACGGCCCAGACUCCUACGGGAGGCAGCAGUGGGGAAUAUUGCACAAUGGGGGAAACCCUGAUGCAGCGACGCCGCGUGGAGGAAGAAGGUCUUCGGAUUGUAAACUCCUGUUGUUGAGGAAGAUAAUGACGGUACUCAACAAGGAAGUGACGGCUAACUACGUGCCAGCAGCCGCGGUAAAACGUAGGUCACAAGCGUUGUCCGGAAUUACUGGGUGUAAAGGGAGCGCAGGCGGGAAGACAAGUUGGAAGUGAAAUCUAUGGGCUCAACCCAUAAACUGCUUUCAAAACUGUUUUUCUUGAGUAGUGCAGAGGUAGGCGGAAUUCCCGGUGUAGCGGUGGAAUGCGUAGAUAUCGGGAGGAACACCAGUGGCGAAGGCGGCCUACUGGGCACCAACUGACGCUGAGGCUCGAAAGUGUGGGUAGCAAACAGGAUUAGAUACCCUGGUAGUCCACACCGUAAACGAUGAUUACUAGGUGUUGGAGGAUUGACCCCUUCAGUGCCGCAGUUAACACAAUAAGUAAUCCACCUGGGGAGUACGACCGCAAGGUUGCAACU
rnacentral:rRNA from 1 species